UUUUUAGCUCUCUCCAAAAAGGUUCUGCAGCAGAAAAAACAGAAGUGAAACAAGAGGACUCACAGGCGCUUCGGAAGAACAUGAAACAAUGGUCGUGGAACGUGGCUGUAAAGCUAUAAGCGAAUCUGCACAUCUCUGCUGAGCUUUUGGAAAACGGAAAAAUCCCAUAUUCAAUAGUUCCACUAUUUGUAUUGGCUACUUGCAUGAAAAGAUUGUAGCAUGGCCACAAUUAUGGUCACAAACGCUGGAAAAUGGGAAGAGGAUACAAUGGAAAAGUCAACUCCCCCACACAGUCCAUGGUGCUAGAUCUGUAACACAUCCUGACCUCCUCAGUUCAAGGAUGUUUUAAGCUCUGAGUGACUUUCAAAUGGAAGUUAUCCAGCGGUCACAUAUUUGUACAUGUGAUUGAAAUGUUUUAAGGCCUGUUAUGUCGACCAAAAUUAAUUUAUCAUUCUGUUGAGCUUUUAAUAAUUGACAAUAAAUCCUAAGUUAUGUUGCAAACAUGUUGAGU